UCACUUGUCCCUUAAAUGAGGACGCGUAUGAAAGGCAACAUGAGAGAAGACCUGUCUCCUAAGGACUGCCAAUGAAAUUGAACUACCAGUUCAAAAGCUGGUAUUAAAAAGCAAGACAAAAAGACCCUGUGGAGCUUUAAUUAACUGCUUUACACAAUAAAACCAGUAAUUUCAGUUGGGACAACUUUAGAAAAAAUAAACUUCCUAUUUACCAAGACUAACUAGUCUAUAAACCACACGACCCAGUAAUACUGAUUAACGAAAUAAGCUACCCCAGGGAUAACAGCGCCACCUUCUCAAAGAGUUCAUAUCAACAAGAAGACCUACGACCUCGAUGUUGGAUCAGGGUACCCAGACGGUG
rnacentral:rRNA from 1 species